rnacentral:lncRNA from 1 species
UGGAAAUGUGCAGCUUAGCACUUGGCAGGCACGCGCCAGUGGUGGCCAGGGCAUGGCGGUGCCGAGGUGGGAGGGAGAGUUACAUUCUUUUGCAAAUCAUUUGGGGCAUUCAAAAUAUUUUUAACUCAUGUGCAUCUAUGAUCUAUUCCAAAAAACAAAUUAAAAUUUGAAAAAUACAAAAUAUAAGAAUUUGAAAAGGAAUAAAAACUUUCAUCCUGGGAGUUGGCCCCAUGGCCGGAUGGUUAAGUUCAGCGAGCUCCACUUUGGGGGCCCGGGUUGGGUUCCUGGGUGCAGACCUACACCACUCAUCAGCGGCCAUGCUGUGGUGGUGACCCACAAUUAAAAUAGAGGCAGAUAGAUACAGAUGUUAGCUCGGCAACAAUCUUCCUCAAGCAAAAAGAGGAAGAUUGGCAGCAGAAUUUAGCUCAGGGCGAAUCUUCCUCAGCAAAAAAAACCCCCAAAAAACCUUUCAUCCUAAGAAAUGAAUGCAAUCAUUUUGUCUGAGCCCUGAAUGCUUCCCUUCAAAGCUGCCAAGCUUCUCCCUGGUCCUACUAUUGUGGUAAGGACCAAGGUGAGGGCUAAACCUCAGGUGUCUCCCUGGGGGUUCUACUCCCUGUGAUGGGGGACACACGUGUGGCAAACUCAGGGCCGACUUCUCCAUGAGCCACAGCAGGUGCAGGGUCCACAAUAUUCCUAGAGGCCCAGGGAAGUGUUUGAAUUUCUUUAAAAACAGUAGGAAAAAAGAGAACACCAUCCAGCCUCGAUUAUAUUUGUCUUUAUACCAACACAGUCAUAAAAUAUAAUUUUUUAUAUAUAUAUAUGUAUAUAGUUUUUUUUUACAAAGAAGGAACUCAUGAUGGUGCAAAAGUCCCUAGAAAGUUGUAGUUUGGCCCUGGUCACGUGCAUUUUAGGCCGGGGGCCAGCCGGUCUCUGUUGUGCGUGAACUCUGCCCUUGCAGCUGAGAGCAGCCGUGGAGGACGCUCAAAUGGACGGAGGUGGCUGUGUUCCAACACAACUUUGUUUACGAAAACAGGCGGGGGGCAGGGUUUGGUGGAGGGCCAACCCUCUGCAGUUGGUGCCUGUCCCCAGCAGAGUCUCGCCUGCUGUGGUGGCCAUAUUCCAUGUCACUGCAUGAACGAUUUCAAGAAUCGCCAUUUAAAUUGCUGCACGAUAUUCCAUCAGAGAGCCACCACUAUCGAAUCCACGUCCUGUUACUUGAUCCUUCGGUUUCCAGUUACUCCCAUUGCAGAUAAAGGUGAUUGAACAUUUUUGUACACAAAUGUUUUCCCAUGUUUUGAAGAUACACUCCUUUCGUACUGAUUCCCAAACUGCUU